CAGCAAUAUCACGUUGAGACGCCAGUGUCCAUACGAUCACCGAAGUUAAGCAACAUCGAGCCUGGUCAGUACCUAGAUGGGUGACCGCUAAGGAAUACCAACUGCUGUAAG